rnacentral:rRNA from 1 species
GACAGAGGGUGCAAGCGUUGUUCGGAAUUACUGGGCGUAAAGGGCUCGUAGGUGGCCAACUAAGUCAGACGUGAAAUCCCUCGGCUUAACCGGGGAACUGCGUCUGAUACUGGAUGGCUUGAGUUUGGGAGAGGGAUGCGGAAUUCCAGGUGUAGCGGUGAAAUGCGUAGAUAUCUGGAGGAACACCGGUGGCGAAGGCGGCAUCCUGGACCAACACUGACACUGAUGAGCGAAAGCCAGGGGAGCAAACGGG